AAAGAUUUAGUUUAAUAUUAAAACCUUAAUUUGUCAAAUUAAAAUUACUAAUAAAUAGUAAUCUUUA
rnacentral:tRNA from 1 species